ACAAGCGGUGGAGCAUGUGGUUAAUUCGAAGCAACGCGUAAAACCUUACCUACCCUUGACAUGUCUGGAACCUUGGUGAGAGCCGAGGUGCCUUCGGAGCCAGAACACAGGUGCUGCAUGGCUGUCGUCAGCUCGUGUCGUGAGAUGUUGGGUUAAGUCCCGCAACGAGCGCAACCCUUGUCAUUAGUUGCCAUCAUUUAGUUGGGCACUCUAAUGAGACUGCCGGUGACAAACCCGGAGGAAGGUGGGGAUGACGUCAAGUCCUCAUGGCCCUUAUGGGUAGGGCUUCACACGUCAUACAAUGGUCGGUACAGAGGGUUGCCAAGCCGCGAGGUGGAGCCAAUCCCUUAAAGCCGAUCGUAGUCCGGAUCGUAGUCUGCAACUCGACUACGUGAAGUCGGAAUCGCUGGUAAUCGCAGAUCAGCAUGCUGCGGUGAAUACGUUCCCGGGUCUU
rnacentral:rRNA from 1 species